rnacentral:rRNA from 1 species
UACAGAGGUCUCAAGCGUUGUUCGGAUUCAUUGGGCGUAAAGGGUGCGUAGGCGGCGCGGUAAGUCGGGUGUGAAAUCUCGGAGCUUAACUCCGAACUGCAUUCGAUACUGCCGUGCUUGAGGACUGGAGAGGAGACUGGAAUUUACGGUGUAGCGGUGAAAUGCGUAGAUAUCGUAAGGAAGACCAGUGGCGAAGGCGGGUCUCUGGACAGUUCCUGACGCUGAGGCACGAAGGCCAGGGGAGCAAACGGG